rnacentral:rRNA from 1 species
GACGAACGCUGGCGGCGUGCUUAACACAUGCAAGUCGAACGGAAAGGCCCUGCUUUUGUGGGGUGCUCGAGUGGCGAACGGGUGAGUAACACGUGAGUAACCUGUCCUUGACUUUGGGAUAACUUCAGGAAACUGGGGCUAAUAUCGGAUAGGAUCUCCUGCUGCAUGGUGUGGGUUGGAAAGUUUCGGCGGUUGGGGAUGGUCUCGCGGCUUAUCAGCUUGUUGGUGGGGUAGUGGCUUACCAAGGGUUUGACGGGUAGCCGGCCUGAGAGGGUGACCGGCCACAUUGGGACUGAGAUACGGCGCAGACUCCUACGGGAGGCAGCGGUGGGGAAUAUUGCACAAUGGGCGGAAGCCUGAUGUAGCAACGCCGGGUGCGGGAUGACGGCCUUCGGGUUGUAAACCGCUUUCGCCGGUGACGAAGCGUGAGUGACGGUAAUGGGUAAAGAAGCACCGGCUAACUACGUG